UGUGAAGAAGGCCUUCGGGUUGUAAAGCACUUUUGUCCGGAAAGAAAACUUCGUCCCUAAUAUGGAUGGAGGAUGACGGUACCGGAAGAAUAAGCACCGGCUAACUACGUGCCAGCAGCCGCGGUAAUACGUAGGGUGCGAGCGUUAAUCGGAAUUACUGGGCGUAAAGCGUGCGCAGGCGGUCUGUUAAGACCGAUGUGAAAUCCCCGGGCUUAACCUGGGAACUGCAUUGGUGACUGGCAGGCUUUGAGUGUGGCAGAGGGGGGUAGAAUUCCACGUGUAGCAGUGAAAUGCGUAGAGAUGUGGAGGAAUACCGAUGGCGAAGGCAGCCCCCUGGGCCAACACUGACGCUCAUGCACGAAAGCGUGGGGAGCAAACAGGAUUAGAUACCCUGGUAGUCCACGCCCUAAACGAUGUCAACUAGUUGUUGGGGAUUCAUUUCCUUAGUAACGUAGCUAACGCGUGAAGUUGACCGCCUGGGGAGUACGGUCGCAAGAUUAAAACUCAAAGGAAUUGACGGGGACCCGCACAAGCGGUGGAUGAUGUGGAUUAAUUCGAUGCAACGCGAAAAACCUUACCUACCCUUGACAUGGUCGGAAUCC
rnacentral:rRNA from 1 species